UACAGAGGGGGCAAGCGUUGUUCGGAAUUACUGGGCGUAAAGGGCGCGUAGGCGGCCCGCUAAGUCGAACGUGAAAUCCCCGGGCUCAACCCGGGAACUGCGUCCGAUACUGGCGGGCUUGAAUCCGGGAGAGGGAUGCGGAAUUCCAGGUGUAGCGGUGAAAUGCGUAGAUAUCUGGAGGAACACCGGUGGCGAAAGCGGCUCACUGGACCGUCUCUGACGCUGAGGUGCGAAAGCCAGGGUAGCGAACGGG
rnacentral:rRNA from 1 species